rnacentral:misc_RNA from 1 species
UGGAUUGGCAAUGGCACGGCGGCUGACGAAGGUGGUUGCAGACGGCGUCAGUAAUGGGUUUGCAGCGGCGAUAUGAGUGGCCAGAAUGUGGAUCGGCGCAGGAAAAUUGAGUGAUGAAGUGAUAGAAAGUGAGGAGAAUCCAGAUCGCGAUUGGUAUUGCUUAUAGUAAUAUUAUCAAACAGGUUGUGUGCAGCCCAAUGAUUUGACAAUGGAGAAAAUGAACAUGCUGG